rnacentral:lncRNA from 1 species
CCAAUUUCUGGAUAUAUAUAUAGACAUAUAUGGGAGAGAGAAAACUGGUCCCCCCCCCCUAAAUCUAGCAGCCUUUCUUCUUUUUUUUUUCCUUUUUUCUCUUUCUUGGUUAAUUUCCACGGGGCUACACAAAACCCAACAAUCUCCCCAUGCAGCCCAUGGGGAGGUGUCCUUACAUCCAUUGCUCAACUAUCAUUUAGUCCUACUGUCUUGGUG